CUUGUUUUUUUCUUAAAAGGCUAAAACACUAAAGAUAUUUGCUCUUUUCUCACUCUACCAGCUUUUGAUUCCUUUUUUCUUUUUGUUCCUUUCUCUCCGUUAGAUGGUAGGAACAUGGAGGGAGGGACUAUAUUUUUGCAGAGAAUCUAGGUAUAGGAAGGGUAGAAAUCAACUGGUAAGUGUGUCGUUGUUUUAGUUUGCUAGGGCCGCCACAGCAAAAUACCAUAGACCAGAUAGCUUAAACAGCAACAAUAUAUUUUCUUACAGUUCUGGAGGCUGGAAGUUCAAGGCCAUAGUGUCAGCAGGGUUGUUUCUCCUGAGGCCUCUCUCCUUGUCUUGCAGACAGCUGCCUUCUUGCUAUGUCCUCACAUGGCCUUUUUUUCUGUCUCUUCCUUUUCUUAUAAGGACACCAGUCAUAAGAACAGCCACCUUGAUGACUCCAUUUAACCUUAAUUACCUCUCUAAAGACUUUAUCCCCAAAUAUGGUUACAUUCUGAGACACUGGGGGUUGGGACUUAAACCUAUGAAAUUUGGAGGAAAUACAGUUUAGCCCAUAAUAUUUUUAUUUACAAAUCUUUGUGCGAAGGAGUUAAAUGUUAAUGCCAAGAUAAAAAUCCUGAGAGCCAACCGUCAUUGAGUAUCAGGCACUCAAAUAUAUUAUCCGGAGCCUUCAUAUAUAUCGUCUCAUUUACACCCCACAACAAGCCUGUGAAAAAAGAAAAUAUGUGCAUCAGAACAUGGGCUCAGAAGCAGAUCAAGGAUGCGUGCUUUGAGAACACAGAAAAGAGGCUUUUUUUAAUAGAGAUUGAAAGAAUUGCUCUGCACUUGGUUAUUCGAAUGCUGAUCUUUGAACUGCCCAAGACAGAAGGGAGUUAAAGAACAGCAGUGAAGAAGAAAGUCAACUGAAAGGGAGCCAAUAUUGGUUGGAUAUCUCCUAUGGUGCAGGCAUUGUAAAAAAUUGCAUUCUGCGGACAGAGAGAUCUGCUGGGAAACCACAGACCAACACCCCAGGCACUAAACAGUACAGUCCUAUUCCACAGCCUGCUCAGACCCUGCUCCUGCUGUUGUCCAUGUGUGAGACCCAGCCUCGCACUCCCUUGACCAUGACGUGAGUUAUUGACUGCUCAUCACUCUGGGGCCGGUAGGACUCUGCCUGUGGAUAUUUCCUCGUGUUGUCAGGUGAUUGUGAAUUACAUGCUGACAUAACCCUAAAGUGGAUCACGUCACUAUGAAACCAUCACUUGGCAGUGGCUCUGAAGAGCAGAGGGGAAGAGAAUUCCAUCAAACAGGAAGACUUUUGCACCAGACAUCUGUCAUUCACUCUACGUGAAAGAAGAUAUGGCUAGUGAUAAAGAUCUUACUCAACUGUGGGCAGUGGUAAAUGUUUGGAAGAAAUGCAACUGGAAAACUGACGACGACUUAUAUAAAUGGACCUCUCAAAAUGGUAAUGAAUGGAGAUAUCUGUAUCCUGUAGCAAUAUUCACCAAAAGACAUCUUCCAUGAAUGAGAUUUUUAAUAAAU
rnacentral:lncRNA from 1 species